rnacentral:rRNA from 1 species
UGCCAGCCGCCGCGGUAAUACGGAGGGGGCUAGCGUUAAUCGGAAUCACUGGGCGUAAAGCGCGCGUAGGUGGUUGUUCAAGUCGGAUGUGAAAGCCCUGGGCUUAACCUGGGAACUGCAUUCGAAACUGGAUAACUAGAGUGUGGUAGAGGGAAGUGGAAUUUCAGGUGUAGCGGUGAAAUGCGUAGAUAUCUGAAGGAACAUCAGUGGCGAAGGCGACCUCCUGGACUGAUAUUGACGCUGAGGUGCGAAAGCGUGGGGAGCAAACAGGAUUAGAUA